GUACUUGCUCUGACAACACAUAUACUAGAAUUGGAACUAUACAGAGACGAUUAGCAUGGCCCCUGCCCAAGGAUGACAUGCAAAUUUGUGAAGCGAGCUGACACAAC
rnacentral:snRNA from 1 species